rnacentral:rRNA from 1 species
UACAGAGGGUGCAAGCGUUAAUCGGAAUUACUGGGCGUAAAGCGUGCGCAGGCGGUUUUGUAAGUCUGUCGUGAAAGCCCCGGGCUCAACCUGGGAAUGGCAUUUGGGACUGCAAGGCUUGAGUGCGGCAGAGGAGACUGGAAUUCCUGGUGUAGCAGUGAAAUGCGUAGAUAUCAGGAGGAAUACCGAUGGCGAAGGCAGGUCUCUGGGCUGACACUGACGCUCAUGCACGAAAGCGUGGGGAGCAAACAGG